rnacentral:rRNA from 1 species
AGCAGCCGCGGUAAGACGGAGGAUGCAAGCGUUAUCCGGAAUGAUUGGGCGUAAAGCGUCCGCAGGUGGCAGUUCAAGUCUGCUGUCAAAGACCGGGGCUUAACUUCGGAAAGGCAGUGGAAACUGAACAGCUAGAGUAUGGUAGGGGCAGAGGGAAUUCCUGGUGUAGCGGUGAAAUGCGUAGAGAUCAGGAAGAACAUCGGUGGCGAAGGCGCUCUGCUGGACCAUAACUGACACUCAGGGACGAAAGCUAGGGGAGCGAAUGGG